rnacentral:rRNA from 1 species
UGGGAAUAUUGCACAAUGGGCGAAAGCCUGAUGCAGCGACGCCGCGUGAGGGAUGACGGCCUUCGGGUUGNAAACCUCUUUCAGCAGGGAAGAAGCGAAAGUACGGUACCUGCAGAAGAAGCGCCGGCUAACUACGUGCCAGCAGCCGCGGUAAUACGUAGGGCGCAAGCGUUGUCCGGAAUUAUUGGGCGUAAAGAGCUCGUAGGCGGUUAGUCGCGUCUGCUGUGAAAACUCGAGGCUCAACCUCGGGCUUGCAGUGGGUACGGGCUGACUAGAUGCGGUAGGGGUGACUGGAAUUCCUGGUGUAGCGGUGGAAUGCGCAGAUAUCAGGAGGAACACCGAUGGCGAAGGCAGGUCACUGGGCCGCAACUGACGCUGAGGAGCGAAAGCAUGGGGAGCGAACAGGAUUAGAUACCCUGGUAGUCCAUGCCGUAAACGUUGGGCACUAGGUG